rnacentral:lncRNA from 1 species
UGCAGGAAAUUACGACUCAUCCAGCUGAAUGCAAGAUAACUCUGAUAGGAAUUUGCUGACUAGAAGAAUAUCAGCUGACAGCACUAAAUGAAAAUUAGGCAGUAGCUUAAAAGAAAAGAGAACUGUCCCCUCAACUUGGGGGUUGGACUGGAGACCAACCUAUCAUCUGGGAAGAUUAGGCUUGGGCAGAGCUACACUAAGCUGGUAAUAGGAGGGCUCCAAAGGAGAAAUGGUUACAGAAGGGAAAAUUACCAUGAGGAUACAACAGGUUGUGGGAUAUCAUAUUUUUGUACAAUCUGGAACAGAAGAAAAAGCAAGUAGACACAGUGAGAAGGUGAUGCCACUGGGACACAUAUGUGGGCAGACUCAGUGCAAAUGCAGCCCUUCAGAAAUGCCCCAGACAGGGAAAUAAGCAAGCUCUAGACCCUAGAGACAAAGAAGGAAGGAUGGAAUUGCUGAGAGAAAGAAGAGUGAAGUGCCUAAAGUUCACUUUUGAGGUUUAUAAAACAUUUUUAAGACUGACAUCUGACCUCUGAAGGCUCUGGAAUCCCUUUUUCAGGUUUAUUUCCCCAGGUGCUGAAGAAGUAAGAGGGAAAAGGUCCAAACAUCAGUUU